AGGCUCUGACCAUCUGUGCUUAGGAAUUGCCUCCUCCCUACCUCUGAACUCUCACUCUUUAACGCUGAGCACGUAGACGCACGCAUCCCAGCUCAACGCAUUCAGCACCAUGGCCCCCAAAAAGGUGGAGGCUAAGAAGCCAGAGUCCAAAAAGGCAGAGCUUGCCAAAAAGGAAGCAGCACCCGCUGCCAAGCCCAAGCCCACGCCGACCCCCGAACCUGUGGUUGAGGCCCCCAAGGAGCCCGACUUUGACCCCAAGAGCAUCACCCUCGAGUACAGCGCCGACCAGAUCGAGGAGUUCAAGGAGGCCUUCACCCUGUUCGACCGCACACCCAAAGGGGAGAUGAAGAUCACGUUCGCCCAGUGCGGCGAUGUGAUGCGGGCGCUGGGCCAGAACCCCACCAACUCUGACGUCCUGAAGGUGUUGGGCAAGCCUCGGCCCGAGGACAUGAGCAGCAAGCUGGUGGACUUUGAGACCUUCCUGCCAAUGUUGCAGCACAUUUCCCGUGCCAAGGACAAGGGCAACUUUGAGGACUUUGUUGAGGGCCUGCGGGUCUUUGACAAGGAGGGCAACGGCACCAUCAUGGGCGCUGAGCUGCGUCACGUACUGGCCACCCUGGGGGAGAGGAUGACGGAGGAUGAGGUAGACAGGCUGAUGGCGGGCCAAGAGGACGCCAACGGAUGCAUCAACUACGCCUCCUUCGUAAAGCACAUUCUGUCUGGGUGAGCUGGAUUUUUACCAGAAGGACUUCAAUGAUUCUGUAUUUUUUUCUCCUCUGGACCCCGUACCUGUCUCAUUAAUACCACUGCCACUUUAGUGGUGAGCAUGUCCCUAAAUGUACUGUUAUGUUUGUUGCUACAAGCAGCUGGCAACAAUCAUGCCACAAAAUGUUGAUUAUGAGACCUCAUUUUUCAUUUUCAUUGAAUAAAAAAUGUACAGUGACAAAAAAAA